rnacentral:rRNA from 1 species
UACGAAGGGGGCUAGCGUUGCCCGGAAUCACUGGGCGUAAAGCGCACGUAGGCGGUUUGUCAAGUUGGGGGUGUAAGCUCUGGGCCUAACCCAGAAAUUGCCUCCAAAACUAGCAUACUUGAGUAUUAGAGGGGAAGCUGGAAUUCACGGUGUAGCGGUGAAAUGCGUAGAUAUCGUGGAGAACACCCGUGGCGAAGGCGGGCUUCUGGCUAAUUACUGACGCUGAGGUGCGAAAGCUAGGGGAGCGAACGGG